rnacentral:rRNA from 1 species
UACGGGGGGGGCAAGCGUUGUUCGGAAUUACUGGGCGUAAAGGGUGCGUAGGUGGCGCCGUAAGUCGGGUGUGAAAUUUCGGAGCUUAACUCCGAAACUGCAUUCGAUACUGCGGUGCUUGAGGACUGGAGAGGAGACUGGAAUUCAUGGUGUAGCAGUGAAAUGCGUAGAGAUCAUGAGGAAGACCAGUGGCGAAGGCGGGUCUCUGGACAGUUCCUGACACUGAGGCACGAAGGUCAGGGGAGCAAACGGG